rnacentral:lncRNA from 1 species
AUACAUCAUCUAACAUAAGGCUGUGAUGUUGCACAAAUUAGUAGGGGCUGCCAAGUCUGGCAUAUUACAACCAAAAACAUAAGGCAAUAAUUGGUGCCAUGUUGCACACAAAGUAAUGCGUGCCAAGUCUGACAUAUUACAACCAAAAGCAUAGAGAACAUAGAAGAUGAUGCACAACACUAGAUCUUCCUUCUCUUCGGGGUCAACUUCCUAGCUUUCGAGGUUGAGGCCAUGUCAUAUGCCAUCGUGGUGUCCUUCACAGUUGGGGUAGGUUGCUGCCAUGCCUCAUCAGCCAAUGCCAUAGCCAACAUCCUGCAUGUGUUGAGAAAUAUAAGAUUAG